CGGGGUGUGGCGCAGCUUGGCAGCGCGCCUGCUUUGGGAGCAGGAAGUCGGAGGUUCAAAUCCUCUCACCCCGACCA
rnacentral:tRNA from 2 species